CUGAUUGACAUGGAAACUGCAAAACUACUUGAAAGCAGCAUAGGGCUGAAUCCUGCUCCAUUUCUAUUUAUGUCACUCCAGUGAUGCUACAAUGAGACACAGUGGUGGGAAUCAGAAUAUCAGCAAACAGGCCAUCUAGCAUCCCAAGAGGGCCAGCAUUUUCAGAAUUCAGAAAGAUUAAACACAGCAGUGAUAGACAGCUCCAUGGGAUUCAACAAUCAAGAUACUGCACUUUUCCUAUGACUUAAAACACUGCAGUGGCAAAGCCUAGCCUUCCUUGGGAAGUGUCUGCAGUGUUACAGCUGGACAACAAUGCCCUUGCUCCAUCUGCAGGACCAGAGUGCAAAGCUGCUGGCAUGUGGAAAGACUCAGUGGCCCCUUCCCUCCACCUUCCCUCACGCCUUUCCUGGCAAAUCUGCCUUUCAAAUCAUA